GACCUCUUCUCGAGGGUAAACUUUGGAGUCGGCAGUGUGGCUGGGCUGGUCUUGUCUGGCCUGGCUGUUGCAGGGUCCAGGGAGGCACAACUUGUCAAGUCGUGGCGGUUUUAGACUUUUAGGCUGUCAGCUUUGACACUAAAGGAGAAGAAGCGCGGACCCCCUCGUCAGCCUCUCCGCGCACUCCUCUGAAGUCGUUUCACGGCACAGAGAGAGUUCAUUCUAAAAAGGAGAUGGCACAGUUGGAAAGUUUCAGGGCAGACUGCGCAAACGCGAUUUUUUGUUGUGAUUGGCCGUGACGCAGUGACAUGAGAGGCGCUCUAAGGUGGACAGGCAGGCAGACAGACAGACAUGCCGAACAGAAGAGGCGUCCCUCAGGAGGGAGGACUCACAGACAGAGACAGACAGUUCUCCAGGGUCGAGAUGCUAAACAUUUCCCACUACAGCUCUCUGGCCUUUUCAGAGAUUCAGCUUGGGAAACAACACACACUCACACACACAACUACACGGAAUGGAAACGUUAUGAGGAGUAAAGGUCAUUCAUUUUAUAUAAACAUAUACUUAUAUUGCUGACAUACUCAAACUGCAGCGAUAUUUUCUUGAAAACGGUAUGAAACUCUAACCCCUAAAUUGUGACACUGAUUCAUUGUACAUAAUGACGUUAAAUAAUUUCCUAUCUAAUAAACGAUGCAUGGUUUUCUUUGUGAUCACUCGUGCAUGAGUAAGGAAUUGAAAUUCAGCACAACUACCAAAACAUUUCUGUGCAAAAGAGAAUUCCCGAU
ensembl:lncRNA